GUCUAGAAAUGAAGUGCCUUGCAGAAGUGAUAAUCCGAGUCUGAGUAGAGGGUGGAUCCAUAUUUCUAUAGCUUUUGGGCAUUUAAAAAACAGAUGGCUAAUUUUUUCCACUUCUCCACAAAAUCCAGAAAGCGAGGGAUACAGUUCUGGAUCUUUUGCUUGGUACGCAAACAUUCUUUAAACAGUUUCGGAAGUUUCGGAGGGAUUGGCAACUUCCAAGGAUCGUUCAUAUGGCUUGGAUAGGUUAUGGGCCUCUAGACCUAGUAGCUCUACUGUUAGAGGAUAGCUAGCAAAGCUAUAAAGAUGGAGGAAACACCACAUACGAAUAAAGUAACCACAACUUGCUUACACGCUGUAACAUAACAUAUCUACGAAUAACACACAAUCCACAAAUCACUCAACUAUUGUUGAGG
rnacentral:misc_RNA from 1 species